CUCUGCCAUGCCAAUUAGGAUCAGUUCUGAUUUUUCUUCCUGAGGAGAACACGAGCAUUUGGGACAGAAACCAAGCAGCCUGCCUGACUUCACUGAACAGCCAGGUCCCAAACAGCUGAUGCUGCAUUAUCAGCAAGGACCACAGCUGAUUACUGGCUCAUUAGUUAUCUCUCCUCUGGCCAUUUAGAGCAAAAUGAACAGAAAAUGCUCAUGGUCUCUGAAGAGUUGCUCCUUCCCAAAUUCAAGGCUCGCCUCCAUUUGCUGUCUUCCAACACCUGGGCCAUUACUGGAGCUCAUUAGAAUAUGAAAACCCAAAAUACCAUGACUGAGCCUUGACUUCUUUGC
rnacentral:lncRNA from 1 species